ensembl:lncRNA
UUUGUCUAUCAGCGGUCCUUAGAGUAGAAAAUUCCUAAAGAAUGGCAGCUUGAAUAUGCUGUGACUGCCUUCACUCCAGUCCAGCUACUUGUCCUGGAUUAAGCACCACCAUGAUCGAAAUUGACAAUGAUCAAAGCGGAGAUCACUUUGUGUGCAGGACUUUUUCCACCUAAGCAAGGUGAGAACCUGGAAACAAAAAUAGAUACCUUAAGUUCAAAGAUUAGAAUAUUGUGGAUCCAUGAAGAGAACUCAGUCCCCUGAGAUCUGUGGAACCCCCACCUCUUACCCAACAAUACUGCCAAGGGAAUAACAACUAGGCCUGGAUAUGGAUGUCUGGGCUCCUUGCCUCUGAAAUGCUGAACAGGAGCUGAAAGGGGAAAUUUCUUCUUUUUGCUCCCAUUGUGGGAGAACUCAGGGAAGCUAAGAAACACAAUUACUUCUUCCUGACACUGACACUUUGGUAGAGGAUGAUAAAGUGCCUGUUGUCCUACCACUGGCUCAAAGGAGCAGAGACCAUCAAGCUUUCCAUCACUCAUGGGACACUCCUACUUCCAGUACAUCAGCAGCUGAACCUAAGCCUAAGUGAGCAAACCAUCAAGUCAAUUAACAAUUAUAAACAAUAAUGUCUGGCAGUUAGAGAGAGGAGAACAAGCAGAACCAUUCUGAAUAGUGAAGUAGAGCUGCUGAAGGAGACUAACAAAAUACUGAACAGGAAAGACAGUACUAAAGGUAUUCAAGGCUAAUACAGAGACGUUUGUCAGUACUAAAGGAAAGUGAGUAAGAACUAAUAAAGUCAGUAAAUGAAUCAACAAAAGAAUCACUAUGAGAUUCAAAUCAUAAGCCGGACAAAUGCAAGAAAUAUUUCAGUGAGCUGAGCAACAGUAUGAAAACAUAAAAGCCAUGAGAUGAAUGAUAAAAGGCUUGGAGAAAAUACUGAGGCAACUUGAAAAACAAGUCAGUCCCACAAAAGGAAAAAAGAAGAGAAAGAUAUGAAGCCGUCAUUAAACAUAACUAAAUAAUAGAAGAACACAGUUCUGAGGUUUGAUGUCACCCCUACUUCCAGCGGGAGGGCCCUAAUGAAGCCUUCAAGUUUGCAGGCCUGGUGACCGACUUUCCAUUUUCUUCAUCAAGAGCACAGACCUGCAUCCAUUCAACAUUUACGGAACUUUGCAGCAUGCCACGCUUUGUGCUAGAGAUGAGAUACCCAGAAAUGCAAAAGCAUGGCUUCUGCCCUCAAGGAGCUUGCUGUGAAGAGACAGACAUAUACAACUAUAGUGUGAUACAGUGAUCAGAUUGACCUGUGUAUGGUUAAAAUUCAGGAGGGCUUGAAAGAAGGGAGAGUGAGUCAGGCUGUAGAAAUCAGAGAAGGUAUCCAAGCGGUGACAGCCUUUGGCCUGACACUGAAGAGUGUAUAAGAAUCAGCUAGAUGCAGCAAGAUGCGGCAGAUAUUCUAAACAAAAGCUCUGUGUGAAAACCCGAGAUGGGAGAGAGCCUGGGGCUGAACAGCAAGUGGUUGCAGACAGCUCAACAUGGCUAGACAGGGAUGGGCACGGAUGGGAAUGUUUGAGGUGGGCCUGGAGGGAGAGAAAGUGAUCUGCACAGCAAGUGCUAAACUAAGCCUUGCGUGGAGUUUAGAGCUUCACAGGGCAGUAGGCACAGGCUUUCUCUCAUUUGGAUUCUCUCCCAUAGGGGAAGCUCAUUAAGAGUCUGGAGUGGGAGAAACAUAGCUUUGUCAGCGUCAUCAUGAGGUGAUGGAGGAGAACACUUUGCUGGCCAGUCGGGGUAUUUGCAGCUAGAGCAAAACAGGUUGUGCAUUCACGAUGGGGCAUUCCUGGGAGAGUCUAGCCAAGUGGUAACCGGAAUUGGGCUCAGAUACCAGUACCAGCUUGGGCUUGAGAUGGCAAGAUGACCUGCCUCAGUGCAGUACCAGGGUUCAGCUUGAGGUGAGGCCAUCAGACCCAGAUCCCAAGCCUUGGCCCAACUGCGCUUUCUGCCUGGAAUAGGGCUAAUUAACUCUAGUGGACAUGGCAAAGUGACCAGGGUCCCAUGGGAAGCAGUAGUCAUAACAAGAGCCACGGGACCAGCAGGAAUCAGACAGGCAGGGAGACUUUGGCCUCCAGCAUUGAAGCAGCAGUUACAAUGGCCGUAAGAUGGGGGGUGAAUACAGGACAGAGAGAGGGUCAAGAGUGGUGGACAGGACCCAGCUCCUCCCAUUUACAUGCAAAAGGCACAGCUUUGUCCCAGCAGCACCCAUAAAUACAUCUUGUCAGUUUCUGGAAUAGUUUAUUGGCUAGGAGUGUUUUUAUGACCUUGAAAGUGAAAGUGAAGUCGCUCAGUCGUGUCUGACUCUUUGCGACCCCGUGGACUAUAGCCCACCAGGCUCCUCUGUCCAUGGGAUUUUCCAGGCAAGAAUACUGGAGUGGGUUGCCAUUUCCUUCUUCAGGGGAUCUUCCCAGCCCAGGGAUAGAAUCUGGGUCUCCUGCAUUGCAGGUAGAUACUUUACCCUCUGAGCCACCAGGUUAUGACCUUA